rnacentral:rRNA from 1 species
UAGGGAAUCUUCGGCAAUGGACGAAAGUCUGACCGAGCAACGCCGCGUGAGUGAAGAAGGUUUUCGGAUCGUAAAACUCUGUUGUUAGAGAAGAACAAGGACGUUAGUAACUGAACGUCCCCCGACGGUAUCUAACCAGAAAGCCACGGCUAACUACGUGCCACCAGCCGCGGUAAUACGUAGGUGGCAAGCGUUGUCCGGAGUUAUUGGGCGUAAAGCGAGCGCAGGCGGUUUCUUAAGUCUGAUGUGAAAGCCCCCGGCUCAACCGGGGAGGGUCAUUGGAAACUGGGAGACUUGAAUGCAGAAGAGGAAAGUGGAAUUCCAUGUGUAGCGGUGAAAUGCGAAGUAAUAUGGAGGAACACCAGUGGCGAAGGCGGCUCUCUGGUCUGUAACUGACGCUGAGGCUCGAAGGCGUGGGGAGCAAACAGG